rnacentral:rRNA from 2 species
AUUCCGGUUGAUCCUGCCGGAGGCCAUUGCUAUCGGUGUCCGAUUUAGCCAUGCUAGUCGCACGGGUUUAGGCCCGUGGCAUAUAGCUCAGUAACACGUGGCCAAACUACCCUAUGGAUGAGAAUACUCUCGGGAAACUGAGGCUAAUUCUCAAUACAGCUUCCAUGCUGGAGUGCAGGAAGCUAGAAACGCUCCGGCGCCAUAGGAUGUGGCUGCGGCCGAUUAGGUAGACGGUGGGGUAACGGCCCACCGUGCCAGUAAUCGGUACGGGUGAUGAGAGUCAGAGCCCGGAGACGGUAUCUGAGACAAGAUACCGGGCCCUACGGGGCGCAGCAGGCGCGAAACCUUUACACUGCACGACAGUGCGAUAGGGGGACUCCGAGUGCGAGGGUAUACAGUCCUCGCUUUUCUGUACCGUAAGGUGGUACAGGAACAAGUGCUGGGCAAGACCGGUGCCAGCCGCCGCGGUAAUACCGGCAGCACGAGUGAUGGCCGAUCUUAUUGGGCCUAAAGCGUCCGUAGCUGGCCAGUCAAGUCUGUUGGGAAAUCCACGUGCCCAACGCGUGGGCGUCCAGCGGAAACUGUCUGGCUUGGAGCCGGAGGACUCGAGGGGUACGUCCGGGGUAGGAGUGAAAUCCCGUAAUCCUGGACGGACCACCGGUGGCGAAAGCGCCUCGAGAGGACGGACUCGACAGUGAGGGACGAAAGCCAAGGUCUCGAACCGGAUUAGAUACCCGGGUAGUCUUGGCCGUAAACAAUGUCCGCUAGGUGUGGCGCAGGCUACGAGCCUGCGCUGUGCCGUAGGGAAGCCGUGAAGCGGACCGCCUGGGAAGUACGUCUGCAAGGAUGAAACUUAAAGGAAUUGGCGGGGGAGCACUACAACCGGAGGAGCCUGCGGUUUAAUUGGACUCAACGCCGGACAUCUCACCGGCACCGACAGUAGCUGUGAAGAUCAGUCUGAUGGGCUUAUUGGAGCUACUGAGAGGAGGUGCAUGGCCGCCGUCAGCUCGUACCGUGAGGCGUCCUGUUAAGUCAGGCAACGAGCGAGACCCGCACUCUUAGUUGCCAGCAACACCAUUGGUGGUUGGGUACACUAAGAGGACUGCCGCUGCUAAAGCGGAGGAAGGAACGGGCAACGGUAGGUCAGUAUGCCCCGAAUGUGCCGGGCAACACGCGGGCUACAAUGGCCGAGACAAUGGGAAGCUACCCCGAGAGGGGACGCCAAUCCCGUAAACUCGGUCGUAGUUCGGAUUGAGGGCUGGAACUCGCCCUCAUGAAGCUGGAUUCGGUAGUAGUCGCGUGUCAUAAGCGCGCGGCGAAUACGUCCCUGCUCCUUGCACACACCGCCCGUCAAAGCACCCGAGUGAGGUCCGGAUGAGGUCAUCAUGCGAUGAUCGAAUCUGGGCUUCGCAAGGGGGCUUAAGUCGUAACAAGGUAGCCGUAGGGGAAUCUGCGGCUGGAUCACCUCCU